rnacentral:rRNA from 1 species
UGGGGAAUAUUGGACAAUGGGCGAAAGCCUGAUCCAGCCAUGCCGCGUGUGUGAAGAAGGUCUUCGGAUUGUAAAGCACUUUAAGUUGGGAGGAAGGGCAGUAAGCGAAUACCUUGCUGUUUUGACGUUACCGACAGAAUAAGCACCGGCUAACUCUGUGCCAGCAGCCGCGGUAAUACAGAGGGUGCAAGCGUUAAUCGGAAUUACUGGGCGUAAAGCGCGCGUAGGUGGUUCGUUAAGUUGAAUGUGAAAGCCCCGGGCUCAACCUGGGAACUGCAUCCAAAACUGGCGAGCUAGAGUAGGGCAGAGGGUGGUGGAAUUUCCUGUGUAGCGGAGAAAUGCGCAGAUAUAGGAAGGAACACCAGUGGCGAAGGCGACCACCUGGGCUCAUACUGACACUGAGGUGCGAAAGCGUGGGGAGCAAACAGG